rnacentral:rRNA from 1 species
UGGGGAAUUUUGGACAAUGGGGGCAACCCUGAUCCAGCCAUGCCGCGUGAGUGAAGAAGGCCUUCGGGUUGUAAAGCUCUUUCGGCGGGGAAGAAAUGGCAACGGCUAAUAUCCGUUGUUGAUGACGGUACCCGCAUAAGAAGCACCGGCUAACUACGUGC